rnacentral:lncRNA from 1 species
AAAAGGACAACACUCCUCUCUCUCUUUUCUUUCUUUACUUUCUUGCUUUUCUUUCCAGUGAGAGAAAGAAAAGAAACAACCUUUGAAUCAGGUUCUUGAAAUUGUAAUGAAAUCACUUUUUCUUUCUUGCCACCUUUCACCUUUUGUUGAUUUAUAAAUAUAUUUUAGUUUUUUUUUUUUUGGAUGAUGAUGAUGAUGAUGAUUAAGAAAGAGAGCAAGAGAGAGAGAUAACCACUUUGUCACUCAAUUGCUAUUGUGGGUUGAGGCCAACUUCAACAACUAACUUUACUUCAAUGGGAAGACUAUUUCACACACACCCUUCCUCUGAUUCAUAACGGUUAGGUUCUCGGUACCCUCUUACAAUUAUUCUAUUUUAAUUUUCUUAAUCAUUAUCAUUUUAAUUAUUACCAAUUAUUACUACGUCUGUAUGAUACGGGUUUUACACUAAAUUUUUUAACAUUAAACUAAUAUCAUAUUUUCUGAAAGAAUAAUUAACUCCACAUAAUAGUUUUCCUGAAUUUUAUACAUUUCUCGUAUAAAAAGUCAUAAAGAUUCUGUUAAUAUUGAUGAACAGUAAAUAAUAAACUUAAUAUUUAAAUAUAUUUUUAGUAAUAGAGAUUGAGGUUCAUGGAACUUUUAAUUUCUUUCUUACAGAUUUGUGCAAUGAAUUUUUAAUUUUGUUAAUGAAUAAUACUGCUUACCGGAUGAGUUCGAAAAUUCUUAUUUGCUAAUUGAUAAUAAUUAAUAAAAUAUAUUUAAAGAUUAUAAGAAUAUAAAAAUAUCUACUUUUUGUUGAAUUUAUAAUUUUUUUUAUUUUUUAUUUUUUAUUUUUAUUGUGUUAAAAUACCAAGAAUAUAGUUUUUUAAUUUUGUAAAUAUAUAAUUUUUAUUUUUUAACUAAAAAUAAUUACACCAUAAAUUUAAAAAUAUAUAAAAGAUACUUAAAAAGAUUCACCUAAUAAAUUUUUUUAUUAAUUUUAAAAUAUUUUUAAAAAGAUUCCUAAAAAGUUUAUCAUACCUACAAGAUUUAUUUUUAUAAUUAAUAUAUGAUGUUUUUAUUCUGACAAAAAUCUAUUCUUUUCCUAUUCUAAAUAUAAAUUAUAAAGAAUUAUUUUCCCUAUUAUUCCAAGCGUGGACUUAUGAUCCUAUAGAAAAAUGAAAAUAAAUAAAGUCGGCAGGCUUUCGUUAAUCUAAUGUGCAUGUGAAAAAAAAAAGGCAAUUUAAUCAAAUUGCUUCAGUCCCACGCUUAGCUAAUUAUGAUAAUAUGUCAGAUUGGAUAAAACUCAUUUCUUUGAGAAAUUUGGAUUGGGACGUAAAAAAAGUGUUUCUUAUUAUUUUUAAUUUAUUAUUUGUAAUUCAUAAGGAAUUAUGCACAUUUUUUGUUGUUAAUAAUAUAACUCGAGUUUUGUUGACCUACUCUGUUCAAAAAUAAAAUUAAAUCUUAAACCAGGAUUCAAGUUUGGGUCUGGUCUAUGCAAGUCGACUGCGCUUUGGUUGGUCUCUUUCUGACCUAAUUUCCCACCUCUUUUAAUUCUCUUUUGUUUUGUUGCCCAUUUAACAGGGAAAUAUGUUAAAUUCCAUAAAAACUUUUUAUAUUCAUUCACUUAAAAUUAAAUAAGUUUAUAACUAUAAAAAUAUUAUAAUUUAAUAGAAAUUUAGGUAUUAAAUCUUUUUGUUAAAUUUAAUAUUUAAUUUUAUUGAUAAAAUGAUAAAAAUUAAAGGUAAAAUAUAUUAACUUUUUAUUAUAUUAUAUAAAUAAAACUGAAAUAUAAUAUAUAAUAUAUUUUUUAAAAUUAUAUAUAUAAAUAUUGCUAUAUAGAAAAAUAUUUUCUUAACAUAAGAUUUAAAAAUUGUAUAACUUAUUGCAAUAGAGAGUUUAUUCUUAUUUAUAAUUGAUUGAAAUUGUGAUCAAAAUUUUUUAUUAUUAUAUACAAAUUAUUCUUAUAUUAAAAAAUAAUUACUGUAUAUCUGUAUUUGAAGUAGGACAAAUACGUCGUAUGAACAACUAGUGAUAUAUAAUUUAAAUAUUUUAUAUUUAAAUAACUAAUAAUAGAUAUUAAUAAAAUUAAUAAAAUUACACGUCUAAAAUUAAUAAAUACUUUCAUACUUCUUUUCGUAUAUUAAUAAAGAGAUUAUAUCUCUUAUUACCCAGAUAAUUUCUGAUAACUUGAAUCACAACUACCAUUUCUUUUUCCAUUUUCUAGUUGGGAAUGAUAUAUGGUUGACAUGCUUUUGAUUACAAAGAGAAUAUCUUUUUAUUUUUGCUUAAUGUGUGAUAUCAUUUCCAUGUAAAUGCAAUUAAAAAAAUAAAUGUUUAAUGAAGUCAUGUUUUUUGUUUUCUUUGAAAAAAGAAUUGUUUGAGAGAUUAAUGUAUAAGGAAAAGUAAGUGAUUUUUACUGGAAUGUUUUUAUCCUUCCUUUACUCCAAAACACUUGCUACCUUUAUCCUUCGCUUUGAGUCUUUGACGAAUAAGAAAAGGAAAAAAAUGAUUUGCUCCUAAAUUUCAAUUUUUUUAUUUUAUCUUUAUUUGGAUCUUCUAAUUUCAAAAAAUGUUUAUUAUUUUAAAUUCAAAUCAUAUACUAAAAUCUCGGUCUUGAAGAUUUUAAGACAUUCCUUUACUCAAGUUUGAAAAAGAAUAUUUUAUAUAUGGAGUUGAACUAAAAUAAUAAUUUACAUAUUAAAAUUGAAUUUUACAGUUAGAUGAUAUCAAAAUUGAAAUCGAGCAUGUUAUCAAAUUUAGGUUUUUUUUUUAAUUCAUUCGAUAUUUAAUUCAUUGAAACUAUAUAAUAGUAAAUAGUUAGUUAUCUUCUUACAAACAACCGAAAUCAAGGCUCUCAAAUUCUCAAAAGAGAAAAUUAAAAUGGUCACAAUUUUAUUGUAAGAGUAGAAAGUUGGAUAAGAAAAGAAGAACCAAUGGGACCAUUUUGUGACACAAAACUACCCUACAAAGGGAAUGAGUUGUUUGGUUGUUUUUUUUUUCUUAAUCAGGAGUUCAGGAGCGCNN